rnacentral:rRNA from 1 species
UNGGCGGCGUGGUUAAGACAUGCAAGUCGAACGAGAGAAUUGCUAGCUUGCUAAUAAUUCUCUAGUGGCGCACGGGUGAGUAACACGUGAGUAACCUGCCCCCGAGAGCGGGAUAGCCCUGGGAAACUGGGAUUAAUACCGCAUAGUAUCGAAAGAUUAAAGCAGCAAUGCGCUUGGGGAUGGGCUCGCGGCCUAUUAGUUAGUUGGUGAGGUAACGGCUCACCAAGGCGAUGACGGGUAGCCGGUCUGAGAGGAUGUCCGGCCACACUGGAACUGAGACACGGUCCAGACACCUACGGGUGGCAGCAGUCGAGAAUCAUUCACAAUGGGGGAAACCCUGAUGGUGCGACGCCGCGUGGGGGAAUGAAGGUCUUCGGAUUGUAAACCCCUGUCAUGUGGGAGCAAAUUAAAAAGAUAGUACCACAAGAGGAAGAGACGGCUAACUCUGUGCCAGCAGCCGCGGUAAUACAGAGGUCUCAAGCGUUGUUCGGAAUCACUGGGCGUAAAGCGUGCGUAGGCUGUUUCGUAAGUCGUGUGUGAAAGGCGCGGGCUCAACCCGCGGACGGCACAUGAUACUGCGAGACUAGAGUAAUGGAGGGGGAACCGGAAUUCACGGUGUAGCAAAUCACUAGUGAAUUC